AUUGAACGCUGGCGGCAGGCCUAACACAUGCAAGUCGAACGGUAACAGGAAGCAGCUUGCUGCUUUGCUGACGCGAGGCGGGGGGGUGAGUAAUGUCCGUGAAACUGCCCGAUGGAGGGGGAUAACUACUGGAAACGGUAGCUAAUACCGCAUAACCUCGCAAGACCAAAGAGGGGGACCUUAGGGCCCCUUGCCAUCGGAUGUGCCCCGAUGGGGGUAGGGAGUAGGUGGGGUUAAGGCCCACCUAGGCGCCGAUCCCUAUCUGGUCUGAGAGGGUGAACAGCCACACUGGAACUGAGGCACGGUCCAAACUCCUACGGGAGGCCACAGUGGGGAAUAUUGCACAAUGGGCGGAAGCCUGAUGCAGCCAUGCCGCGUGUAUGAAGAAGGCCUUCGGGUUGUAAAGUACUUUCAGCGGGGAGGAAGGGAGUAAAGUUAAAACCUUCGCUCAUUGACGUUACCCGAAGAAGAAGCACCGGCUAACUCCGUG
rnacentral:rRNA from 1 species